ACUUUGCUGGGUCCUCACUGUGUGACUUCAGGCAAGCCAAUCUCCCUCUCUGAGCUAAGUUUCCUCACUUGCAAAAAAAAAAAGGGUAUUGCCACUUAUGUUCCAGGUGCACUGUGGGGCUUAGAUAGGGCAUGCACAGGCCCUGGCACACCAGAGGCUUGCAGGAAAUGGCAGCUAGAAUUAACCAUCACAUCCAUGCCUUGGAAAGAUCAGCAUCUACGCACUCUUUUAACACUGUUCCCUGAACACCUGCUCUGGGCUAGGCAUGUCUUGGUGCGGAAUACAGAGUGAACAAGACAGAGGAGGUUUCUGCCUUGUGCAGUGUUUCUGGCAGGAGGGGACUGGCAAUUGACAAAUAAAUAGAAAGAUAAUUCAGGGAGUGGUGAGUGCUCUGGAGAAAUAAAACAGGGUGACGUGAGAGAGAAAGAUGGGGUAGGGUGCCUGGGAAAGCCUCCUGGAGAUGACAUUAGACCUUGACCUGAAAGAGUGGAAGAGGCCUGUGUGAAGGUCUGGGGCAGAAGGUUUGGCCCAAAAGGCACUCCCCCAAGCUGGGCGAGAACUUGGUCCAUUCCUGGGACAGAGUGAAGCCCAGGAUGGGGUGGUGGUGGCGUGGGAGGUGAAGGGCAGAGCGGUAGUGGUAGUACCGGAAGUCAGAGAGGUGGGCUGUCCAGGUCCUGCGGGUCCUUGUCAGCCAGGGGGAGGGGCCCCGAUGUUAUAGAAGUGGAAUAAGGGCCAUCCAUCAGGAGGUUUUAAGGAGCAGGUGCAACACACAGUGAGUCUCUGGGUGAAUUCUCCCCAUCUCCAGUCCCCAGUUCUCCGACCUCAUUUGCCCAGACAGUCUUUUUAACAAAUUGCCAUUUCUGGAGAAUUGCGAGCUUCUGUUGAGGAUCCGAGCAGGUUCCGCCCUCAAUUCAAGGGAAACCGCGGCCCACAGUCCCAGGGUUCAGGCCCGGAUCCACCUGCGGGAUCCACCCCCUUGCACCCUGAGAACCUGUAGCGCUCCCGGUGCCCUGCGGGGGCCCUGCGCAUGCGCUCUCUGCUUUCUUGGGCUCCCUCUCCCGGGGAGGCUGUUGUUGUCAUCUCGGUUCUGUAGAUGAGGAAACUGAGGACCCAGCAUCUCCCACUCCCUGCUCACCUCAGGACGUGUCUCCCUCCUCCCGCAACAGCCCACACGGCACCCUGUAAAUAACUGCAUGUUCCCAACACCUCUCCUCCUUCUCCUUGGAAACCUGCUUUCUCUUUGGACUUGGGCUGCCGGGCUGUGCGAUUCCCGGCUUGGCUCAGUGCGGAGCGUGGCGGCAACUCGCAUCUGCAGGCCUGGGCGGGCAGGCGCCUUCGUUCACUAGCUGGGUGACCUUCGGUAGGUCACUUCACCUCUCUGAGCCUCAGUUUCCUCACUGGGAGUGCGGGGGAUCGUAGCUAAGGUCUGUGAUGAGAUUAGAUGAGGACUUGUACACAGGUGUCCGGCUGAGUGUGGAACACGCUCCCGUGCUUAAUGAAACUGGUUCCUCUUUUCUUCCCUUCUCUCGUUCUCCUUUCCCUCUUUUCCUUACCUAAUCAGUUCUGCGUCCUAGAUGUUUUGGAGGGAGGUCGGGGUCCACACACGCGGAUGCCGGUAGGACCAGACACGUGACAGAGAGGGGACACUGCUGGGCUCCUUGUUAACGAAGGGCAUGGGAAGAAGCCAGCUUCCCAAGCAGACCUGCACAGAGCCGGUAACCUGGGGGAGGCCCGUCACAGGGAGGAUGUGGGCCUGGGCUGUCUAGGGGCCUCUGAUGCUUUCUAAGGGGUCCCUCCAACUCAGGGCCGGAUGCAGGCUCCCCUAGAUUGCAGGAGCCACUUACUUAGAUUUCCUGCCAAACCAAAGUUUCAUAUUUAUGUUUCAUUUCACCUAGAGGAAGGGAGAAGUCUAAUGCGGUCUUUCACUGGCUUUUGGUAGAUCUUCUGGAAGAAGUGGGAAGGGGCUUUACUAAUGGGGAGGGGCGAAUCAACAUGACCCCUGAUGUCCAGAGCCUGUGGAAUGACGGUACGAGCAGGAGCUAACUUUGCUGAGCUACUUUGUGCUAUCCGCCCUGUAUGCACUACCUUGCUUAAGUUGCACAACAACCUUAUGAAGUGAGUAAAUUAGUAUUAUGCCCAUUUCACAGAGGAGGAAAGAGGCAGAGAGAGGCCAUGAAUCUUGUCAAGGCCAGACAGCUAGAAGGUGCCAUGGAAGAUUUGCAUCCAGGCUGUGUGGCCCUUGCCUCACUGUUCUUCUGGGAUCAGGAUGUCUGAAUGGGAGAUGGGACUCACUCUGCAGCCGAGUGGAGGGUGAGGAGACACUAAGUGAUUAUUGAGCACUCUCUGUGGGUCACUGCCUGCUGCCGUGUGGUCACCCUGUGGUCUCUGUGUAGUUGCUAUGGUGGACGAAGUUUGUCUUAGUCUGCCCUGUAGCCUUUCUUCUGUACAGCUCCUUAAUAUUCCUUUGGAGAUUCACCCUCCCCUUAUUCUCUGGCCAUGUGGUUUGGAUAGAGUCCUCCAAUUCUCCUUGUUUAAGCUCUACAGACUGGUGCAUAACCCAGGCCUAGGAUUAAGCUUUGGACAUGUGACUUGAGAUGGUCCAGUAAGACUCAGUCAUGGAAAUUAUUCUGGAAAUGUUAGGAAAAUUCUUCUUCUGUUCGAGUUACUGAACUAAGAAAGUGUGAGCCUAGAGCUGGAAGGUCACAGUGUGGAAGGAGCCUGCAUAAGGGAGAAGCCAAGCCAGAGAGAAACAGAACUGAUAGACAGAGAGAGACUGAGCCCUGAGGAUAUUGUAUGACUCCUGGAUCAAGCUCUUCCUGAAAUCCAGAAUCCGCCAUUGAAUUUUUUAAUUACAUGAAGUAAUAGAACCCUUUUUUUGCCCUUGAAGCAUUUUGCUUGCUUUUUCUAUCACCUGCAUCUAUAAUAGGAUUGGCUGGCAUCGUGCUAACUACUCCAUGUAUGUUAUUACAUUUAAUCCAACGAGGUAGUUGAUAUGGUGCCCACUAUGCAGAUGAGGGAACUGAGGUUCAGAGAGACUUCUGCUGGUUAAGGUGUCACAGCCAGUUCAUGGCACAGCUGGGAUUAGACCCCAGGCAUUUUGACUCUAGACUGCACCUUGAUCACCCUGCUGUAUGGCAGGAAGGCUGGAUCCCCCCGCCCCCCAAAUACCUCUUGAAAUGUCCCCUCUCCAAGUCACAUCCAACCGCUCUCCCUGCUUCUACUCUCAUCCCCUUUAAUCCCUGCUUCCUUGGAAGUCUUCUCUGGCUACACCUUCAGACUAAACUCUGUUUCCUGGUAGACAUUUUUAUGGCCCAAGGUACUUUUCUUCUUAGCUCGACUGAACUUCAAUAAUGAUUUGUUCCAGGUUUAUUUCUUCCACUGGGUGGGAGUCCCACAGGGGCAAAGAUGACGUCUAUUUGCCCAUUGUUGCAGCACUGAAGCCUGGCACAGUGCCUGGCCUGUGGUGGGCACCUGGUAAAUGUUUGCCGAACAAAUGGAUUGUGCAGUUUUUCACUCCCACUGGGGCCCUGGAUCAUUGUACACCUGUUUGACUGCAGUGUUAUAUCAUUCUGACACUGCAAAAUUCGCUUGUGCUCUGCUGUAUUGUAGGGCACCUGUGAUCCCGGACGCGCCUUAUCCUGGCUCUCCCUGCAAGACAGGUCAGAUCACCUCUCUGAGCCUCAGUCUGCUCAUCUUCAAAACGGGAACAGUCACAGCCACCUCAGCAAGUCACUGUAUGGGCAAGGAAAUACUUUGUCAUUGGUGACAUUUUGCGCACACGUAAGGACUUAUUUUUAUGAUUUGUGAUCCUCUGGCGAGGGAGGGUUAUCGGGAGUGUUGCCUGGGCGUGACCGCCUGUACCCUCAGGGGAAAUUAUCUGAGCUUGAGUCCACAAGAAAGACUUCUGGAGUUCACGACAGGCGGCAAGCGGAUGUCUCUGUCGUGGAGGGGAACGCUGUGGGCUCCAGCUGAGGCAGCUUCUGUUUUUAGCUGGAAUCAUUGCUGCUCAGCCCCCCAUGUGGAAAAAAGGAAUGUGGUGCAGAAAUAGCCCGUCCCAGGGGCUGCCCAAGAGAAGGGCUUAUUUUGACUCAGGAUGCUGCAGAAGCUGUGGCAGCCUUGUCAAAAUACAUCUGCCUCUUCUGGAGCAGCCCACGGCUCCUCAGACUCUCGCCAGGACCAAAGCACGGCUGCCAGACGUGCACAUCUGGAACCGGGCCCCUGGGAGCGGAGGACAGCCCUGGCUUUGAUUCCAACAAUAACCGCCUUCCGAGCACUAGAGGGCGGAAAAUAGAUAUCCUAUGUCAGUGGCACGAAGGAGCCCAGUUUGGUCUCCAGGCUCAUCCGUCCCUGUGGUCCUCCGAAUUGGCACGGGGCCUGGCAGAGUCUGGCAAGUGGAAGGGGGAGUGUCCACAGCCCUUCCUCUGUGGAAUUUGCAGUGGGCGUUCUCAUACCCAUUUCCCAGGUGGGAAAACCGAGGCCCAGUCCACAGAGUGGCUUCUGGGGAUGAGCUCUCACCCCAGCCACGUGUUUUCUCUUCUCCAAGCCCUGCUCUGCACCUUUGAGCUGCUGUGGCCUCUGCCUAGGAUGCCCUUCCUCCUCCUAGAAUUGUUCCCAAACCAGGAGACCUGUCUCUUCCUCUGGGCACAGUCAGUCCCUGGCUCACUGGGACUCUGUGCAGGCUUCAUGGUGGCCCUCAUUUGCCUGCCCAGUAACUUGGCACAGCUGCUUGUCAGAGAGGGGGCGGAAGCACCUUUUGGCACAGGGCCAGGCAGGCGCCUGCCCGGCGUGGGCCUGAAACGUGUUUACCGAAAGAGUGAAUGGCGAUGGAGUGUUUCACCGAGGGGCAUCCCAACUCAAAACACCCGGGUUGAUUCAGCACUCAGUCAGGAAGACAGGAUAUAGGACCUCUUUCAGGCUCCCUAACUUGAGGGCAGCUUCAGGGAGACGAGAAAACCGGUUCAUGGCUCUCGAGCGGCACAGCCGCCUGCUCGCAGCUCCUUUCAUACAAAACGUCCUGAAUCAGACUCAUUCAUCACCCACCAGAGCUAUCACAGGUGGGGUUUCUGCAACCUCCCUGGCUCCUCAGGUUCAAAGCCCUGGUCAGUGUGGAUGUCCAGCUCCAAGUCCAGAUGACUGGCCCCAAGCCAUCUCCUGUCUCCCUGCCCCCUGCCCGUGGGUUCCUUGGGCCUUACCGGCUCCUCCCUGCACCACCGAGCCUCCCAGUCGUGUCUCCCCACCUCCACCGAGCUCUCGCGGUCCCGUCUCCAUUCACAUGCCUCGCAUGGGGCUGACUCAUAGAUCCUUUGCGAGCCCAGCUCUGACCACGCAGUUCUGACCCUGCUCAAAACAGUCGGCAGCUCACCCCUUUCUCUGCUGACAUUUUCCAAAGUGGAUUGUGCAGGUAUUAACGGGGGCUCUGUGCAUAGGAGGCCCUCGCUCAGGUGAGUGGGGACUGCUGGGCUAAAUGAAGUCAAGCAGAUUUUUCCCUUCAGGAGGUUUUGGGGCCUUUAAUGUGCUCUGGUGGAUGAUGAUUCUCAGAGAGGUGACACAGAGUGUAGCAUUUCUAGAGCUUAUCUGAUCAUGGAAGCUUUCAACGGGGAGCAUCAAGGGAAGGGGUGUUCCGAAAAACGCGCUUCGGGAAAUGCCGGCUUGUUGGCUGGAGCCUAAACUCCUGACCUUGGCACUCGAGGUCCUUUACGGCACGGCCGAGCCCACCUUUGCCACCGCCGCUCUGCCCAUUCCAGUCGCAUCCAGAAAGUUCCAGCCAAAAAGAACCUCCGGACGCUCCCUGUGCCUGAGGCUGCUUUCCCGCCUCUGUCUGCCGCCCACUCAUCCUCCCGCCAGACUCACUCUUUCCCUCCAUCCCAAGCCGCUCUUCCUUCCAGGCCCAGCCCAAAUGUAACCCUUCCUCCAGCCUUCCCAAGUGAUGGCAGGAUGGGAGACCUCUCGCCUUCCUCUUGCCCCGUGGGCCCCAGUCUGGCCAGCGUUAGGUCACUGAAUGUGACAUUAUUAUACAGAAAUCUUUGGACCCACUCUAAUUUGCUAAAAAAAAUAAAAUCACUUGCAAACCUGAGUGAUUUUAAUCA